ensembl:lncRNA
AGAACAACUAACCAGGGGAGAAGACAGACCAGCUCUGUCCACAUCAAACAUGGCAAUGCAUCUGGAAGCCAGAAACAGUGCAAAUCACUUCUUGCUCUUCAUGGCAUGCUCUUCCAAACCUCACAUAUUGCAAGACCACCAAGCAAUGACAUACUCCAGACAAAAGCCUGGCAGUAACAGAUAGAAAAGUGAACCGAUGCUACUCAGUCCCCUCUGAACGCUAUAUCCAGCCUAAGUGGAAUCCUAUUGAGAAAAUACUGCUCUCUAAACAUCCAAAAUGAGCUCCAAGUAGCAGCUUUAUGGAUCUCAAACUGCAAUACAAUAAGCAGCACGUGCAGAAGCCACUACAAUCUAUUAAGAAAAAUAUUAAGACCUUCUGGUUGGUGACCUUCAGCGAACACUUAGUCUGAAUUUACAAUCUGACCCUUCAGUUCUUUGCUCCAGAAGAAGUGAUUGGUCUCUGUCUUCUUCAUACAACCUGUGUUCAUACAUGAGUAUGGUAUUUGGAAAAAAGGGGCACAGAACUCAGCUCAGCAACAGCUCAAAACUCUCAUCUGCUGUUUCACUGUUUCCCACUAGUUCUCCAUUGAAACAAACAAUCAAAUAAAUAAAUAAAGCAGUGUUUAUCACCUACAUAGAAGAGGAGAAGAACCUGUAAUAAAGGCUGCUAAGAGAAUAAUUUGAAGCUGGGAAGAAGAUCAAUAAAUCUUAAUCAAUAAAUCAAUAAAUCAAUAAAUACAUUUGGAGAUGUGUUCAGUCACCACUCCCCAGAGCUAGGGAGAAUUAAAAACAAAUAAAAACUAUGCACUUAUCUCUCAAUCAUUCAAAUAUAAAGCAAAGGACAAUCAUACAGCAAGAAGUUGUGGGGAGAAAAUGGAUCUUCCCAGACCCUUUAAGGCCGAUCUUACAGCAAUUAUCUCACAAAUAACCCAAAAUCUUCUCUACACUCUAAACUGCUGGUUAUAGUUUUAGAAAGCAAUAGAACCCCCUCCCCAUUGAUCAUCUCAGCACAGUUAGCAUUUGAUUCAUGAAGCUGUGCCUCAGGUUGUCAAGAAGAGAGCUGUUCCUUAAUUAAUAAUAAUGAACUCCAACUCAGGAGCCUCACACUUGUAAGACCCCCAAGGAGCACCAGCUAAAGUGGGAAUCUCAGUGGGCAACUUCUAUUGAGCCUAAAGCAGAACCACCAAGAGAUUAGCAAGAGAGAGCUUUUAAAACAGAUGCAUUCGACUUCUUUGAUGUUUGUCUAUUUUAUUACCGACACUG